GACUAUCCAAAAUCUGUCUCUCGCUCUAUCCACAAACGAGUCGUGCUCUGCCUUUCUCCGCUAACCCAGUGGCUCAGUUUCACAUCCUAAUCGCAAGAACAAGCUUACAGCACUCCUCCUUCUUCUCGCGCAUUUUCAUGGCUACCAUUUCUCCUCCUACCUUUCCUUCCCCAUCCGCCUUCUCUGAUCCAACCCCUCACAAAUUCACCUUUAGAUCCCCCAAAUUCUCCUCCCGCACCACUCUCUCUUCACGGCUCUCCGACUGCGCCCGCGCCCCUUGCCGCUGCCACGGCCACUCUGACGCUCCAUCGCCCUCCGAUGACUCCCCUGUCGGCUGGAGAUGGGACUCCGUUCUUCACGACGCCGUCAAGAAUGCCAUCGGACGGUUUGAUUCCUUCCUGAAUUCGCACAGAGAUCAGGUGAAGCCUGCUCCCAGUGUCAACGCUACGGAGAUAAAAAGCGAAGUCGAGGAGGAUGAGGAUUGGGGUUGGGACCGGUGGAAGCAGCAUUUUGCCGAGGUCGAUCACCAGGAGCGUACUGUUUCGGUCUUGAAGUCACAGUUAGGUCAUGCUGUUCAUAGCGAAGAUUAUGAAGAUGCCGCUAGGCUUAAGGUGGCAAUUGCUGCUGCAGCCACAAAUGACAUUGUUGGCAGAGUGAUAUUUCAUCUGAAUAGAGCCAUAGAGGAGGAGCAUUACCAGGAUGCAGCAUUUAUACGGGAUUAUGCUGGUGCUGGCUUGAUUGGAUGGUGGGCUGGCAUCUCAGAAGAUACUAAUGAUCCUUAUGGUCGAAUUAUUCGAAUAAGUGCGGAGUAUGGAAGAUAUGUUGCUAGAAGUUAUAGUCCCCGACAGCUUGCUACAGCUACAGCUACAACUGGUGUUCCCCUGUUCGAGAUAUUCCUAACAAUGAACAAAAAAGGUCAAUACAAACAACAGGUUGUUUAUUUGAAGCAAAGGGGAGUUUCCCAAGAGUCUACUACAGUAUCUUCCAAGUCAUCAGGUGCCAUCAACAGCUUCAGUGAAUUAAACACAGCGGGAGAUAAAAGUGAUAUAUCUGCUACAACUGUUGAAGAUGUUGAAGAUGAUGAAGAUAGGGAUGAUGAUGCAGUCACUGGACUGUCUGGCUUUCAGAAUAUCUUGCGAGAUAUGAUUCCUGGGGUGAAGGUUAAGGUUUUAAAAGUGACAGCCUCUGGGAAGGUGGACCGGGAUCUAAUUGCUAGAGUAAUUGAACAGAUAACAGAGGAGGAAGAUGAAGAAAAUGAUACUGAACCAGAAAGUGUAGAUGCAGAAGAUGAAAUUAGUAGUGAAAGUGAUCGCGAGCAAGAUGAGAUUGAAGUGGAUACUUCUCGUGAAAAUGUCAAUAAUGAUGAGAGAAGUGAAAUUGCAGUUAAAGUCAUCGUUGGUGGGCUUGUACAUAAACUCUCUAAUCCUACUAAAGAUUUACUGCGAGUACCAGCUAGGCUAGUAAAAAAGGGACGAUCAUCCUUUUCUUUUUCGAUAGAAAAGGAUAACAAUCAACUAGAUUCUAAUGGAAAGAGACCUGCUUUGCCUUACAGAAAAACUAAGCUUACAAAUCAACGUAGCAUUAAUCAAGUUAUGUUUGAUCUUGCUAAGGUUAUUGGUAGGGAGAAGAUACCUCUAAAGGUGCUUAAAGAUGUGGGUGAAUUAAUUAAUCUCACCCUCAGCCAGGCUCAAAAUCGUCAACCACUAUCUGGUUCAACAACUUUUAACCGCAUUGAGAUACCAGCAUCUCGAGAUCCUUUAAAUGGACUCUACAUUGGUGCACAUGGGAUUUACACCUCUGAAAUCAUUCACAUGAGACGCAAAUUUGGCCACUGGCAAGAGGAUGGUGGGAGCAAGAAGCGCUCAAAUCUAGAGUUUUAUGAAUAUGUUGAAGCUUUAAAAUUAACUGGGGAUCCUUAUGUACCCGCUGGUCAGGUAGCAUUCCGAGCAAAAGUUGGAAAAAGAUACCAGCUUCCUCAUAAAGGGAUCAUUCCUGAAGAAUUUGGAGUUAUUGCUCGAUAUAGAGGACAAGGGAGGCUUGCUGAGCCUGGUUUUCGGAAUCCUCGAUGGGUUGAUGGCGAGCUCAUUAUACUCGAUGGAAAGUACAUUAAAGCAGGGCCUGUUGUUGGAUUUGUGUAUUGGGCCCCUGAGUUUCAUUUCUUGGUGUUCUUCAAUCGACUGAGGCUUCAGGAAUAGAUACUCAAUGUACAUGAAGCUUGAGCUUGCUGAUUCUUGUUCAUUUAUUAGGUUAUAGAUGAUAUUUGUUCAUAGGUAAUCUUAUUGAGGUACAGGAGCGGAGGAAGUCUGUGGACCUAAGGCUGCAUUGUUCCGUGCUUACUUGACUGGUGGUGCACUUGUUUACGUGACAAAUGAUGUGGGAGGGCAGCUGUUGUGGAGGACUGUUCCAAGGUAGAGAUCUGGAGAUGGUAGCAGCGGCUGAUAAUUUGGGUCAUAUAUCUUGGUACGUUGAGUUGGAAGUCUUUUAUUUUGGUGGUGGGAAUGCAUCAGCCAUCAAGUGAAAACAUGACUAAAGUGAUGGAACGGAGGGCUGCAUUGAUAAUGCUUUUUCAAUCCGCAAUGAAGGCAAGUUGAGUUUUGAAAUUGCAAACCCUGUAAAUUUACAAACAAAAAUGUCAAAUGAGAAAAAAAAAAAAAAAUCCAAUAAUCCUAGAUAAGAUCGAAAAUUCCAUUCGUAACUAAAAUUAUUCUGGUGGUAAAAGAUGUUGACACAAGUAACGUUAGUAUUGUCUCAUGUAUGCUUAUGCAUCAAGGGGUUAGUAGAAAACAAAUUAGAUUAAUGUAAAUUGGCCUGGUGGGCAGAGUUAUGCUGGAGAUGCCAAGUAAUUUGUUAAACCAUUAUGCAAAUGUGAUGAUAGGAUUAAACAGGCUGAGAAUUAUUGCUCUGCCAGAGGAUUUAUGUAUUUAAAUCUGGAAUAGGAGCUAGCUUUGAAAAUAGUUGAAACGAAUAUUCGCGGACUCCAUGGUCUUUCAUGGGCUAUG